ensembl:lncRNA
GUUCAACCCAAAAAGAUUGAGGUCAAUGACGGAAGCAUGCGCACGUGAGGUGACCACGCCCCUCUUUCCAUGCCCUGAAGCAGCGCGGCAUUUUGUUCAUCUUCUGCCUGCAGCGAGCGACUUCAAUUUACUCUCGUUUUUCCAGUCUUACCAAGCUACCUUUGGCAACCUCUUAGUGAUUGAUUAUGAAUGUGGACGUGUAAGGAGUGCAGUUUGGAGUUAGCUACCAGAGGUUGGCCUCAUUGAGCUUGGUAACGUGGAAGACCCAUAUCCCCUUGUGGAGUAUAUGGUCGGAGGUUUGCGCAUGGUAACUCUGAAAAGAUUUGUCAUUGUCAAAGAUUAAAAGGUGUUCUGUAAUGGAAGCUCCUGCUGUCCUGCGGAUCAUUUUUGCGGAUGAGUUUGACUCAAGAAAAUUGCCCCUGGUGACUGGAAUUCCAUCGACAGUCGUAGAGCUCCAUGCAUCCAUAAAGACUUUCUUUCAGUUGAAGGAAGAAUUUCGUUUGCAGUAUAUGGAUACUGACUUUAAUGCGUUCAUGAACCUUAGUUCAGUUUCAGAAAUUCAAAACAAAAGCACAGUGAAAGUAAUAUGCACUGCAAUCCUGGAACCUGAGGAGACCUAUGUUACAUUAUACCCUUUACACUUACCUGGUGAAACCUCAAGUUCCACUGUCCCAGAUCUUCAAAAAACCCUUUCGUCCUUAGAGUCAUCCUGCAGUGACGAUACCAUGUACACGUCACACCAUGCUCAUCCCC